rnacentral:rRNA from 1 species
AAAGCGUACGUAGGCGGCUUGGUAAGUCUGCUGUGAAACCUUGGGGCUCAACCCCAAGCGUGCAGUGGAUACUGUCAAGCUAGAGGAUGGUAGAGGCCAGUGGAAUUCCCAGUGUAGCGGUGAAAUGCGCAGAUAUUGGGAGGAACACCAGUAGCGAAGGCGGCUGGCUGGGCCAUUCCUGACGCUGAGACGCGAAAGCUAGGGGAGCGAACAGGAUUAGAUACCCUGGUAGUCCUAGCCGUAAACGAUGAACACUAGGUGUGGGGGGAGUCGAAUCCCUCCGUGCCGAAGCCAACGCGUUAAGUGUUCCGCCUGGGGAGUACGGCCGCAAGGCUAAAACUCAAAAGAAUUGACGGGGGCCCGCACAAGCAGCGGAGCAUGUUCUUUAAUUCGAUGCAACGCGAAGAACCUUACCUGGACUUGACAUGGCACUGCAAGCGCACGGAAACGUGUGACCUUCGAGGGUGUGCCACAGGUGCUGCAUGGCU